GGAAGCUGAAGCAAACAAAGAAGAAAAUGAAUGGAUAACUACAGUUUUAAAAGGAAUGAAAAGAACAUCACUGACCGCAUUGAAAAUAGUAUUAAGAUCGGUUCGCGAAAGAAGGAAUGAAACACUGUCUGACUGUCUAAAAAAAGAAUUUAGAUUAACAAUGAAUAUAUUACGAAGUACAAUAUCUGAGGAUAUGUAUGAGGUAUUAGUGAUGGUAAAGUUGGUUAUUGAACGAGUUCUGGUGCUGUGGACGUAGUUGAACAUGUGUUGGAGUUUGUGACUGAUUCUCUUGAUCAAUUUGGAAAGCUUGCUGAGGUGGUGAUUGUUGCAAUAUCUGUGAAUGCAUUAAAGUAGCAGUCCUGUUUGGAAAGUUUUGUGGCUGUUAAAAUUGAAGUAAGGAAGAAGGAUGCUGUUUAAAAGGAUCCUGAAGUGCCGCACGCAGCCACAGUUUGAUA